rnacentral:lncRNA from 1 species
GAGGGUUGAUGGUCGGAGAGGUACAGAAGACAUCAGAGACAGUCGGUCACUGUAGAAAUUCGACUGCUGGAGCACGUCCGUUGUAGAAGUUCGCCCGAAACCCAACCGCUGUAGAAGUUCGGACGGAGUCCGAUUCCUGUAGGAGUUCGGAAGGAGGCCACUUACCGUAGAAGCCCGGAUGGAGACCGAUUGUCAUAGAAGUUUGGAGUAGACUACUUACUGUAGAAGUCCCGCCGUUGGAGA